GCGGGUUAUGCAACAUGACCAAGUGACAUGUAUUCUAGGAAUGCAAGAUUGGCUUAACAUUCAAAUUUCAGUCAAGGUAAUCCACCCUGUUAAUAUAAUAGAGGACAGGAACUAUAUCAUCAUCUUCAUAGACAGAGAAAAGUAUUUGACAAUAUCUGACACCCAUUAGUGAUAAAAUCAUGUCUACACAAAGACAUGUGCUCAGAUGUUCACUGCAGCAUUUUGCAGGAAGGCCCCAGGGUGGAAACAAGCCAAAUGUCUACCAAUCAGUAAAGGGAUAAAGAAGUGGUAUAUCCGUACAGCCGAAUGUUACUGAGCCGUGACAAAGAACACACUACUGAUGCACGUUUGAGCCUCCAAGACAUUAUGCUAAUUGACAGAUGUCAGACACAGAAGACCACUUAUUGCACAAGUCAGUUUAUAGGAAAUGCCCAGAGAGGCAGCUCUAAAGAGAGAGAAAGGAGCUUGCUAGUUGCCUGGGUGGGCCUGGAGGUAAAGUAAUGGGGAUUGACUGCUGCUAGUGGGUACCAGCGAUCUUUCUGGGGUGAUGGAAGUAUUCUGAAACUGGAUAGUGGUGAGGGCUGCAAAACUGUGUAAAUUUACUAAAACUCACUGUGUUAUUCCCUUUAGGUACGUGAAGUUUGUGGCAAGCAAAUUAUACCUUAGUAAAGCCAUUUAAAAAAUGUAGUGCAAGUGUGACCGUAAGUCACGGAGGAAAGGGUAUGCAGUCAUUUUUUUCUACAACAGUAAGCAACAUCCCCUCUCUUUCCCUGUUCCGCGUCCUGCCUACAUGUCCUGCCUGGUCGCCUGGCUCCUCCACGUGCACUUGAUGCUCCAGCCAGAUAGACUGUGCACACCUGGGCAGAGGGAGUGCUGGACCUGGCUUCAGUUUCCCUGGUAACCAACCUCAGCCCUUAGCUUCAACCUCUGAGCACAGGAAGACAGCCAGAGUGGGGAGGGGUGUUGUCUCACCCACAGGGCCCCUGCCGGAGCUGAGCACCCCAAUGGGAUGAGUGGCAGCACGGUUACCAAGACAACAGAACUCUCGACCCCUUUCCACCUGCAAGGCUCUUCUCCCUCUCCUGGGCCUGCCGAGCAUCAGGUCGGAAAGUGCUGCAAAGAACAUGGGGAGUAUCUGG
rnacentral:lncRNA from 1 species